AGAAAACAGCCCGUCUAGCUAAAAAAAUCGCUCAGCAAUUUUAUUUUGCGGAAUAAGUCUGGUGUAGCUACCUGCUUUUGGCAUAAGAAUUACUAAUUAAGAAUUUUGUUGUAGCUGGCUAAACUGUAUCACACAUGCUUUUAGGCUUAAUACGCUUUUCAAAAAAACUACAUUGCAUCUUUGGUUUACAGAACACAGAAUACACUCUGUAAAAAGGCUAGGUAACUGUUACCCGCCGUUGAACACCCGGAUGAGUGAUUAAUAAGAGCCGUCAACUGCGCCACAUAUUCAGGUAAAGCGCUUUAGUAAAGUUAUGUAGUAUGUAGUAAAUCAAAUGAAGUGCACACAACUUUAUGGUGUGUCCAGUGUAAUAUGUUUUUUAUCAAAUAACUUUCCACAACUUAAGCUGAAAUAAAAACACAGAUUACAAUUUGUUGUUACCCCGUCAUAGCAAAAACUUUCUGGCAAACCUUUUUUAUUUUUCGGAUAAUGUUCCCGGUGAGUGUUAGCUGACCAUUUAGUACGGGUAAAUAAUGUGACACAUCCAUACAGAUGUAAUACCAAUUUACCAUGUCACACAUGAGUAUAGGCGUAACACUAUUUUUCAAAAGAACUUCAUCGCAAAUUCGGUUAAAAAAAGUCCAGGAAACCGCUGUUGUUAUCAUGUUCAGUUAAAAAAAUACUCAGCAAUUUUAUUUUGCACCAUAAGUUUUCAUAACAGUAAUAAAAGUGGUAUCUGCCUAACUUCAUUUAGCAUAAGAAUUAAGAAUUGUGUUGCAGCCAAACUGCAUUUGGCUACUUUCACUUUUUGGUCAGAAGUAGCUAAGGAGCUAGCUAGGUAAACACAACUUUAACAUAAAAAUAAAUAAUACUGGCUAGGAUAUAAAGCUGUUAUACUAAACUGAAUAGUAAUAACUAAGGCUAGCUAGCUAGCUGAUUGUAGAAUGCUCCUUAAAAAUCUUCGUUCCUAGCCAAAAAUCAAGAAAUUUUUGGGUUUGAGAUUUGUACUUAGCUACAAAACGUGAGAAUAUAUUUAUCUUAACAUGUAAAAAUAUGUAAAAAAACAAAAAUGAAAACCUUUUUGAAGACAAAAACAGAUUAACCGUCAAUGCCACAGCUUUUAAAAUGGCCGUAGCUCAGAUUGCUUUAUCUUUCCUUCAUUGGUAAAAAUCUGAUUCUGCGGGGUUUUCCCAAAAUUUUCUGAUAAAAGCCGCGCACAACCAUUUUGAAUAUACAGAAUACGGCUAUUAUUAAAGAGAAGAUGGACAACAGAAGUGAUAACCAUUAAAAGAAAUAAACUAACACUAAAUACACAAGAGAAAUCAGUGUCAUUAAGGCUUUUUAACUAACUAUACAUAGAUUUCCAUAGAUUGUAAUGGCAAUAUAAUGUGUGUUACGAGUAAGUUAUGUGUGUUUGAGAAUGUAUUUACAGUCUCUGUGGAUAAAGAAGUAAAAAAAUUGUUGGAAAAAAACUUCAUAAAAGACUGCAUAUAAAUGCUGUAAUGCCAAAAGGAAAAUACUGGGUUAGGCAGCCAAUGGUAAGUUUUUAUUAAAUUUGAUUUGAGAUUUGAAAUUUGAUUUGAGGUUUAAUUUGAAAAAAAAUAUAAAAGUAAUGUUGUGUAGUGGGUUGCACGUACUAUUACUUUCAGUUAAAAAGUCCAAAAAUCAACGUGAUAGAAUAUAAUUAAUUGGAUAUAACAAUUUAAUUGCUAUGUUGUGCUUUUUUUAUGGUUUAUAGAGAACAGACAAAAGAUAUUGCCGACAGAAACGAUGGUGAAAGCAUUAGAGAACAAAGAAUCUUUACAACAAGUGAAGGUUAGUCCGAACAUAUUAACUGUUUUCAUGUUAGAGAAAUGCUCGAAUGUUCGUUGUUAUCAAUCUCAAGAAACCCUUUCGUAUUAACGAAUAAGAUUUGUUCCAUUUUUAUUUAUCUUAUCUUUAGUGAAGAAACUCAAAGUCGCGAUAACCUAGAUUCACAGCAAGCAUGACGAAUUCAUGGUGGUUCAGUUAAAUUUAAAAUAUAAAAUUAUUGAUAGAUAGACAAUUGUCAACCAGGCCUUAACUUUUGCAAUCUUAAAGUUAAAGUCCAAUAGACAAGUAAAAAUUAGGGCCUAAAAAUAUUUUUCCGUUCGACUUCCUUUUGAAUAUUUUUCAUUUUGUGUCGUAGUGUAAAACGUUUGUAAUAUUUUUUUGCAUAUUGGGAAAAGCUGCCAAAAGGGAACAAAUCCAUAGUUCAGCUUGUUUUGAUUAACCACAAAAAAAGCUUAGGGAUGAAUUUCCCGUAUUUAAAAGCAAUCCAUACACAUUGUUUCAGUAAAUUCGGUCUUUGAAAAAAACACGUUUGGGGAGAUAAUUUACCCGCAUUAAGAAGCAAUCCAUACAAGCAAUCCAUGAUAUUCAGUUCUUUUAGUAAAUUCGGUCUUUAGAAAAAACAUUUACGGAGAUAAUUUACCGGUAUUAAGAAGCAAUCCAUACAUAUAAAAUUCAGUUGUUUUAGUAAAUUCGAUUUUUGAAAUAUAUAUAUAUAUAUAUAUGAACACAAAUUGUAGCUAUAGGAAUAACCAACAAGAUAGAUGACUACAUCAAGAAUUAAGUAAAAAGAUUUUAUUAUUUAAAAUUUUCGUCAUUUCAUCGACUGACUUCUUCAGUAUCGCUUACAAUACAGUAUUAACAAUUAAAAUAUCUUAUAUAGUGAUAAAAAUAAAUUAUAUACAAUUAAAUACACAAGGGUUUAAAACUGGUUUCCAUCACCAUCAUCCUACUAUCAACUUAACACACGGUUUCUACAACUUGCAUUUUUCUGUUCUUUUAGUUCUAUUCCAGUCAUGAGAACCAUUAAGUCCCUGAUGUUGUGUGACGAGUGUCCCUAUCCAGAAUUUUUCUUUAUCUAAUAGCAAACUAUCAAUUUGCCUGUUUGUUAAAUUCUCUCCAUUGUUCACAACAUCAACUAUAAUAAACCCAAUAUUUUGCACGGAGGCAUUAGGGCAUUCAUCAAUAAAAUGUUUCACAACUUUGCAAGAUGGUAUCUUCUUUUUAAUGUGGGAUUUGUAAUUCGAAAGUCGAGGCUUCCAAGCAAUGUAAAAAUAUAUAAAAAAACAAGGACAGACUUAGCAACGUCAACGUUACGCAACUUUCAAAAUGGCCGUAAUAACACUGCUCUCUGCUUUACACAUCCCUUUGUCGUGGCUGCAAAAUCUCGGAUUGGUUUUUCAAAAAAAAUCAGGCGUUGCAAUUGAAUGCUACACGCGGGAGAAUAAAACAAAGUCGGUAAAUAUAUAUCGCAUUUGGUAUUUUGUGCAGAUA